CCCUUCUUACCAUGCAUAAGCAUGUCUAAACAUGUCAAUGAAGGAAGAGAGGUUAAACAGAACACAUGACAACAAGGUAGGUCAUGUAUACAGAGGACAAACUGUUUGUCUACAGCACAUUGCACACAAUAUUGGUUUAUUUGUUCAAAUUUGGCCCUAUAUCCGUGAUGUGGGAGGUAGUCUCUUUGUGCAAACAGAAGAUAAACAAUAUGUAGGUGGCACAUUGGUUUGUCAUUCCUUUAAAUAUAGAUAUCCUACUCAGUGUCACCCUGGCCCUUUUGAACAUAAAAUUGGGCAGACUGCCCCUGAAAAGACAAGGGGCCUAAUUUGUCUAAGAUGCUGUGUGCACAAAAAAAGACUAAACUUUGCAUGUGCCAAUUUUCCCACAACGGUUGGUAUUUAUCCAUUUUGAACUUGACUGGGGGAUGGUGUGAGUAUCUUCAUGUACAUUUCAAACUGUGAGCACAACUUCUAAAAUAUCAAUCAACUGUAUUCCAAGCAAAUGGGCAUAUUGUUUGUUUGUUGGAAAUGGGAGGUGUUUGAUGCGCGGGAACUAUAAUAGGCCUAAUAGUAGGCUAAUAAAAACAUAAAAAUGUAGGCCUAAUCUAGGCUGACUAGACCGGGCUGUAACUUAACAAAAUGUGGAAAAAGUCAAUGGGUCUGAAUACUUUCCGAAUGCACUGUGUGUUUCCAUAAUGAGCUCUGCAUCUGUCUUAAACUCCGCAACUUUGUCAUUCCCAUCUUUCUUUUGGACAAUCUCUCUUUUAUUACUCACUUUGGCCUGCUGGGCUGGGGGGGGGGACCUUGGCCACGCCUUCACUGCUCGCUGAAAACAGAAGUGGGGAUUGGAAAUAAACAUCAUAGUUGCUAUAUAAAAAGGACUUCAGACAUCUCUACAUAUCAUAGCAUGUACUGUAUCUCUGACCCUCUUUACCUUUGCACAUAUCUGGCUGGUCCUAAGAAGAUCUCUGAAUGACUUCUUUCUCUGUCUUCUCUUGAUUCAUCCCCCCACUUGCCAGGACAUUUUCACCUUUGACCUUUGCUGGCUGAUAUAUCUUUUCACUCUAUUUUCUUAAAAUCUCUCCAAGCUUAUCUGUAUUCGGUAAUGCUGUAACUGUAAACUUUGUUUUGUCUUUUCUCCCAAUUCUCCUCUUUCCACUUUUGCCAUACUUCUGCACUUAUGAACUCAUCGUCCAUAUCAUAGUCACUCUCUGACCAGCCCAUGUCAAUGUCCAGGUCCUUUUGACCUUUGCUGCCUGGUCUGUCUAAGUGUCUUGAAUCUUUCCUCUAACUGCAGCAAAAACAGAGAAAUCUGACAAGAGAAGAGAGUGAAGGGACAUUAAUACACACAGAAAAACAGAAAUAAGAGAAAUGCCUUGAACAUGCUUUCAAACUAGCGCAGGCAGCACUCAUCAUUGUAUCAAUAUGCUACCAUUCUGUUUUUUUCACAGUUGCGCUUUGCUGGCUCAUCCUCCUGAGGGUUCAGAGUCUUUGACUCAGCUGCAGCAACUGAAAUCUGACAAGAAAAAAUAAAAUGACUGGCAUUAAUAUCAAAAGGAGUGUGUUUGAUUAUAGUACCCUCAACACUAAAAUAUGUACAGCAUUGAGUAUGCUUUCAAACUGAAUUUGCUUUCAAAUUAGCGAAAGACAAUAGACUUUUACAGACAAGUUCAGGACAGUUUGAGUAUCAAUAGUCCAUCAGACCAUCAUAUUCAUUUAAUAAACUGCAAUCCAAAUAUCAAUCUAUGACUACUAUAGAGUUAAAUGCUUCAUUGCACAAAACAACUGUAAACAAAGAUUCCCUUUGCACUGGGUCUGUUUGACCUCAGCACCAGCUGAGAAGAUGGAGAAAUCUGGAAGAGAGGGAGGUGGGAAACAGACAGUAUAAGUGAAGGUGUUGAAGCUAACCUUACAUAUCACACUUUAUUCUCCGUCUAUCCUCUCUCCUUUUUACCUUCGCACUUUGCUGGCUGGUCCUCCUGAGCCAAUCUGACUCAUCACCCCAGACUACGCAAAGAUUGAGGAAUCUGUCAUGAAAAGGAAAAAUGAAUACAUGGGGUCUUACAGUAUGUGACAAUAACAAACAGUAAUUCAUAAUGAUGCACCUCUCCUCUUUCUUACCUUUGCACUGCUGGGUGUGCUGAGUCUCUUUGACCUGAACACCAGCUGAAAAGAUUGAUACAUCUGCAGAGGGAGAUAGAUAGGAGAGAUAGAUAAACAUACUGAGGGUAUUCAUGCUCACUUCACAUUCUGAACUUCAAGAAUAUAGUUAUUCUUCUCUUUAUCCUCUAUAGUGGUAUUUCUUUUUAAAGUCUCUCUCUUUCGUCGACAUGUUUUACCUUUGCAUUUUGCUGGCUGGUUCUCCUGAAAUACCUUUUUCUUUUCAACUCCCUCUUUCUUUUUCUUCUCUUGGUUUAUUUCAUCUCUCUCAACUGUAUUCCCAUCACUUUGGAGUUGUGCAGGUGUCACGCUCUGACCUAGGAGAGCUGUGUUUUCUCUGUUUAGCUAGGUCAGGGUGUGAUAGGUGGGUGGGCAUUCUAUGUUUUGUGCUCUAUGUUUUGGACGGGUAUGGUUUCCAAUCAGAGGCAGGUGUCUAUCGUUGUCUCUGAUUGGAAGCCAUACUUAGGCAGCCUGUUUUUCCUUUGAUUUUUGUGGGUAGUUGUUUUCCGUUUUGUCAGUGUGUACCUUACGGAACUGUUGUCGGUCAUUUUAUUGUUUUGGUUCAAGUGUCUUCAUUAAAAUUAAAAAAAUUAGCACUAUACACGCUGCGCCUUGGUCUACUCAUUUCGAUGCCUGUGACAGAACUACCCACCACAAGAAGACCAAGCAGCGUGCACUCUCCAGGAGGAGGAGCGGGACCAAGCAGUAUGGCUCAGAGGAGUGGACCUGGGAGGAGAUCCUAGAUGGGGCAGGACCCUGGACAAGGCCUGGGGAGUAUCGCCGUCCGCAAUGGGAGAUAGAGGCAGCAAAUGCGGAACGACAAUACUGGGAGGAACAGCUAGGCAAGCAACAGGAGGCCGAGAGGCAGCGCCCCCAGACAUUUUGGGGGGCCCACACGGGUAGAUUGGCUAAGGCGAGGUUAAGACCUGAGCCAACUCCCUGUGCUUACCGUGGGGAGCAAGUGACUGUAGAAGCACUGUGUUAUGCGG
rnacentral:lncRNA from 1 species